AGCUUUGCGCAGUGGCAGUAUCGUAACCAAUGAGGUAAAUCCGAGGUGCGAUUAUUGCUAGUUGAAAACUUUAACCAAUACCCCGCCUGGACGUCGUGAAAUAUCGACGGCUAAGGCAAUUUUUGAUAGCCUGAUCUCGGG
rnacentral:snRNA from 1 species